GUCCCGGCCGCGGCGGGCGUCGCGUCUUCGCGUCCUUGGGGCUUGUCCGCCGCCUUGGGCGUCCUACUAAGCAAGACCGGAAUUGGGAGCCGCAGCUCGUGGAGGGCGGGGCGGGGGAGCGUCGCGGGGUAGCCGCACCGCAGCCCUUUCCCGCGGCGACCGCGGGGUCCCGGGAGAGUUGGAAGCGAGGGAAGGUUUGCGCGGCGCGGUCCACGGAGCACCAGGCGGGCCGCAUGCUUUCGGCCUCAAAACUUGAAAGCUGUUGGGGAAAAACGCGCUGAAAAUAAAGGAAACGGGCUCUAGACUCCCGCCUUUAUAUAUAGCUUCCGCAUAAGCUGGGAGGUCAAAUCCACAUUCGGGUUUCUAGAGCUCCCGGGGUUGCAGACCGAGCUGCCGCUCCGCUUCCUCCCCCCGCCGUCCUCACCGUCCGUCCGUCCGUCCGUCCGCCCGCGCAGCCGUGCCUGCAGCUCCAGGCUCCGUCCGCGCGCCCGGCGCCGUCGAGGCCGCGGCUCUCGGCUCCGUGACUGGCCCCGGGGACGCCAGCUGCGGGGCUGCGUCCCCCGAACGGGACGUUAAACGCGCAAAGCAGAUUGCGGAGGGUCGGAGGAGGCGCGGCGUUCGGAGACGCAGCACCGUAUACCGUACGGGCAGAUGCAGGGGGAUGAUGCAGAGCCGCAUGUUAUUAUACCCACUUCCAAGCCCAGGACCUUACCAGGAUGUUCAGUCCUUCUGUGGGGAAAAUUUCUUUUAACAUGGAGAUGAGGGUUUUGGUGACAACCAUCAAAAAAGAGUAAAAGGCAUGACUCUAGGUCAAUUUACCAUCCUAAUUUCAAGACCUCCACUGCAUCACUUCAAUUGCUGCCAUCUAACUAGGAGCUUACACAGGAUGACCCACAAACUCAACAUUUCUAAAACCAACUCAUCACGUCUACCUGCUUCCCAAUCCUUACCAUUUCUGCAGAGGUGUUUGAAUUUGUGCCUCUUGCUGCAUAUUUUCUGAAAUGGGAAUCUACACAAAUCCUUUCGUUGCUCAUCAUCCUCCAUAAAGAAUGUUCAAAUCCUUAUCAAUGAUACAAUCCUGUCAUGAUCACAAGUAAUUUCCUUUCUGCACUUAUAACAUAUACAUCAGUCACUUUAUAAGGCCUCAGAUAUAUCCUGUUGCUCCGUGACUUUAUGAUUUUGUUAACUGCUUAUUUUCUCUUGUUACAUUUUACGAACUUCUCUCAACUGGUUAUGCCUAGCCUUAACCCUUGAGCAACAUUUUCUCAGUAACCCUUUCUCUCAAGCAGAAUUAUUCAUUUCUGCCUUUUGUUACCACUUCCCCUUAAAUACAACUCAAGCACUGCAUUUAUCACACUUUAAUUAUGUGUUUAUAUAUUUGUUUUCUCCAAUAGUGAUGAAAUCCUUGAGAACAGUUUAAUAUGUUUAUAUUUCCAGAGCCUGUAUAGUAUUGGAUACCUACCUGUGAUUUGGUGUAUGAGUAGACGAAUGAAUGGAGAGUAUAUAUACAUAUAACAUUAUUACUGCAAACACUUAAAGAGAAUUUACUAUGUGAAAUAUUGUUUUAAACACUUCCAUUAAUUCAUUUAAUCCUCCCUAUGAAUUAGCAAUGAAUGAAUAUGAAAUCUUAGUUUAAGUUAAAUAGGCAAGUGAUUUUUCUAUCUUCAUGAUUUAAGAAGCACUUGAAAAGUAGGAAUAAUUAUUGUUUGUAAUAAAUAAGAAAAUAAGUUAAUGAAGAUCCACAAAAGAUGAAAAAGAAGGAAGACAUUACUUCAGGGUCCUUAUUAUAUAUCACAAUUAGGUGUGAUUGUUCAGUUGGAUAUUUCUGCUUCAGCUUAAUGAAAUUCUUCCAGAGUGAGGCAAAAUCUUAUGCCAUCAUUUUUAGCUUGAAGCAAAGAAUUUCUUCCUCCCAUAAAAAUAUUAUUUUAAAAAUUAUUGACUUGUACAAAGUAUUUUAUGAUAAUUUGUCAGCAGAAACAAAGCCUAUGCUCCUACAUAAGGAUAAUGCUUAAAUUUUGCCUAGUCAUAGUCUUUACAGUGUCUAAUGAGGCUCUACAUAAUCUGCAACCCUAACAUUCCCUUUAUCUGGAAAGCCCUUUCCCCAGAUAUUUUUAUGGUUCUCCUGGCUAAAGAGUAUUCAGGUAGGCCAAGAUAUGGGAAACAAAACAGGGAGGGAGUGACCUGAUCUAAUGCAGGAAAGCACCAGGCAUGUUGGUGGUUGGAAGAGCAAGUCAGUGAUGGUACAGAGAGCUCAGCCAGGAUUUAGUAAGGAAUGGGGAGCCACUGAAGAGUUUCAAAUAGGAGAGAACCUCAAAGAGGACUCUGAGAAGAAAGCUUCACAAAGAUGCAUGUUGACAUGAGUUCCAGUUGGACUGAAGGUGGAAGAAGUUGAAGAUAGAUCAGGCCAGAGGCAGUAAGAUCCUAAAUGGGGAUAUUAGCCACAGAGCUGGAAGAAAAGUAAUACAAGUGAGAAAGAUUAUGGGAAGAAAAAGAUUAUGAAAGACAAGAGAAGGAGGGGGGAUGGUCCAGAUGAUGGUCACAGCAGAAACAGAACUCUCAGAGGAGGAUCUGUUUGAGAGAAAGGUUGGAUGGAAACGGGGUACGUUAAUUAGGCAGUUGCAGAUAAGGCCAUGGCCCAGAAAGUUGGAUUGAGUUUAGUAAAAUUCUGAUUCUUGUUCUUCCUGUAGAUGAGAAUUAGCAAAUCAGGAGACAGAAAAUGGCAACGGACACUCUUGUGCCACUAUGAGAGGUGAAUUGGUGCAAUGUUUUUUGGAUGGGAAUUUGGAAAUGUUCAUCAUCCAAAAUAUGCAUACCCUCUGAAUCAUUUUCUUUGGAAUUUAUCUUAUAGAGAUAUUUGUACCAUCGAACAAGAGUACAUACAAGGAUGCUCACUGAUGUAUUGUUUGGCUUGUAAUGGCAAAAAAUUGGAGUCAACCUAAUUAUCUAUCAUUGAAUGUGCAUCUGUUUGAUGAAAUAACAGGUCACUACUAAAAUAGAAUAAGGUAAAGCUAUGUAUACUGACAUGGAAAGACGUCUGUCAUAAAACAAAUUGUAGGAUGUGCCAACUAGAUGUGAGAAAUCCUUUUACAAUGCAGUAUAUAUAUCAAAUGAUCACCACAUAUACUUAAAUAACUUACAAAUCUUAUUUGUGAAUUAUACCUCUAUAAAGCUGAAAAACAUUCAAUAAAAAAUAAAACUCUUAAA